rnacentral:tRNA from 1 species
UCUCCUAGUCUGAUUUUUCAGGCGUGGGUUCAAAUCCCACUCUCGUCAGGCGAGAUGGCCGAGUGGUCUAAGGCGCUAGGUUCAGGUC